CCUUAUUUUUCUCAGGUUGACCUCGGAUCAGGUAGGGAU
rnacentral:rRNA from 1 species